AAAGCUGCAAGUUUAGCAGAUUCUUCACCUGCAUCAGUCCCAUUGCCACUUCGAGUUGAGCCCAAGCCCAAGAGUGGAAUCAGACAGCAAUAUUUAUUGAAAAAGGUUGUGGAAAUCAAACCCAAACGGAAGAGAACUUCUAGUCCAUCUGAUGGGAAUCAGUCAACUCCUGCUUCAAAUGAUUCUGCUUUAAAAAGCCUUAAGUCUGAGUCUCACCAGGAGAAAGAGCAGCCUGAGACUGACCAGGAGGAGAAAGAGUGGCCUUUGUCAAGAUUGAAUAAAGCAGAGGGAGAUACUAAUACAGAAAACCCUGUUAAAAGUUUACUAGGCCUAGCAUAUGCAAGUUCUGAGGAUGAUGACUGAAGAAUGCAUUGAUACCUGUGGUGCGAUACUAGAACUGUUCAUUUUUCUUUUCCUUGUUGAUAAGUAGUUCAU